GGGUAAUUGACAAAGGUAUAUCAACAUGUGAAUAAAUGCCAUGAUUAUCCAAGUGGGGACACUUGUAUAACCAUUUAGAAAUCAACUUAACAGAAUAUAUAUCUGAGCUAACAUGUUGAUAAUCAAAGAGUACAUAAUCUGUACAGGAAUAGAAUAAUUCUGAAACUUCUUACUCAUGUCCAUUGCAUAAAGGAAAUGCAAAGGUAAGAUACUUGCCUGAUUCGCUGAUUACAAAUCUCAACUUAGGUUCUAUCUCUUUAUAUCAC
rnacentral:lncRNA from 1 species